rnacentral:rRNA from 1 species
ACUUAAAUUGAAGAGUUUGAUCAUGGCUCAGAUUGAACGCUGGCGGCAGGCCUAACACAUGCAAGUCGAGCGGUAGCACAGAGAGCUUGCUCUCGGGUGACGAGCGGCGGACGGGUGAGUAAUGUCUGGGAAACUGCCUGAUGGAGGGGGAUAACUACUGGAAACGGUAGCUAAUACCGCAUAACGUCGCAAGACCAAAGUGGGGGACCUUCGGGCCUCAUGCCAUCAGAUGUGCCCAGAUGGGAUUAGCUAGUAGGUGGGGUAACGGCUCACCUAGGCGACGAUCCCUAGCUGGUCUGAGAGGAUGACCAGCCACACUGGAACUGAGACACGGUCCAGACUCCUACGGGAGGCAGCAGUGGGGAAUAUUGCACAAUGGGCGCAAGCCUGAUGCAGCCAUGCCGCGUGUGUGAAGAAGGCCUUCGGGUUGUAAAGCACUUUCAGCGGGGAGGAAGGCGUUAAGGUUAAUAACCUUGGCGAUUGACGUUACCCGCAGAAGAAGCACCGGCUAACUCCGUGCCAGCAGCCGCGGUAAUACGGAGGGUGCAAGCGUUAAUCGGAAUUACUGGGCGUAAAGCGCACGCAGGCGGUCUGUCAAGUCGGAUGUGAAAUCCCCGGGCUCAACCUGGGAACUGCAUUCGAAACUGGCAGGCUAGAGUCUUGUAGAGGGGGUAGAAUUCCAGGUGUAGCGGUGAAAUGCGUAGAGAUCUGGAGGAAUACCGGUGGCGAAGGCGGCCCCCUGGACAAAGACUGACGCUCAGGUGCGAAAGCGUGGGGAGCAAACAGGAUUAGAUACCCUGGUAGUCCACGCCGUAAACGAUGUCGAUUUGGAGGUUGUGCCCUUGAGGCGUGGCUUCCGGAGCUAACGCGUUAAAUCGACCGCCUGGGGAGUACGGCCGCAAGGUUAAAACUCAAAUGAAUUGACGGGGGCCCGCACAAGCGGUGGAGCAUGUGGUUUAAUUCGAUGCAACGCGAAGAACCUUACCUGGUCUUGACAUCCACAGAACUUUCCAGAGAUGGAUUGGUGCCUUCGGGAACUGUGAGACAGGUGCUGCAUGGCUGUCGUCAGCUCGUGUUGUGAAAUGUUGGGUUAAGUCCCGCAACGAGCGCAACCCUUAUCCUUUGUUGCCAGCGGUCCGGCCGGGAACUCAAAGGAGACUGCCAGUGAUAAACUGGAGGAAGGUGGGGAUGACGUCAAGUCAUCAUGGCCCUUACGACCAGGGCUACACACGUGCUACAAUGGCAUAUACAAAGAGAAGCGACCUCGCGAGAGCAAGCGGACCUCAUAAAGUAUGUCGUAGUCCGGAUUGGAGUCUGCAACUCGACUCCAUGAAGUCGGAAUCGCUAGUAAUCGUAGAUCAGAAUGCUACGGUGAAUACGUUCCCGGGCCUUGUACACACCGCCCGUCACACCAUGGGAGUGGGUUGCAAAAGAAGUAGGUAGCUUAACCUUCGGGAGGGCGCUUACCACUUUGUGAUUCAUGACUGGGGUGAAGUCGUAACAAGGUAACCGUAGGGGAACCUGCGGUUGGAUCACCUCCUUACCUUAAAGAA